UGGAACAGUAGCCCGGUUUCGGGAAUUCGAAGUUGCCAUUAAGAUGAAAAUCUGCAGAAUUUGUUGCAGGCUCAAUUCUGUUGUCGACUGGACUUUACUUCAUUAAGCAAAUUCAUAUUGUAUGGCAUGUAUGGAAGGUAUUAUAGGCCAGGAAAUUGCAUCGUCAAAGAUGAGUUACCGUUCAACUCAUUAAGAAUACCGCUCACAACGCUUUGUUGUCUUGAAUUAAAGAGAUCAGAACCUUCCCCGUGGGAUAGUAUCCGGAAUAAAUCUGGUACAAGAAACUCGGAUAGCAUUCAAUGUCACUAUAUGAAAAAUUUCACCUUUAUCAUUUGUCAUUAUGAUUCAAAAAAGAGAGUUUUCAUGGACAUCAAAGAAUGAUCACCUCCGAGAGAGCAGACUCGGGUCAUAUCAAUAUGAAAUGUUGGUUGUCACAGUUGGGAAUCCAUUGUUGCAAAAGGUGGGAACUGCUGCUUAGGAGUCUUCGAAAAGGCAU
rnacentral:lncRNA from 1 species